CCUACGGGAGGCAGCAGUGGGGAAUAUUGGGCAAUGGGCGCAAGCCUGACCCAGCAACGCCGCGUGAAGGAAGAAGGCUUUCGGGUUGUAAACUUCUUUUCUCAGGGACGAAGAAAGUGACGGUACCUGAGGAAUAAGCCACGGCUAACUACGUGCCAGCAGCCGCGGUAAUACGUAGGUGGCAAGCGUUAUUCGGAUUUAUUGGGGGUAAAGGGCGUGUAGGCGGGAGCGAAAGUCCGCUGGGAAAACUCAGGACUCAACCCUGAGCCUGCAUUUGAAACUGUGUUUCUUGAGUGCUGGAGGGGCAAUCGGAAUUCGGGGUGUGGCGGUGAAAUGGG
rnacentral:rRNA from 1 species